rnacentral:rRNA from 1 species
AUUGAACGCUGGCGGCAGGCCUAACACAUGCAAGUCGAGCGGAUGAAGGGAGCUUGCUCCUGGAUUCAGCGGCGGACGGGUGAGUAAUGCCUAGGAAUCUGCCUGGUAGUGGGGGAUAACGUCCGGAAACGGGCGCUAAUACCGCAUACGUCCUGAGGGAGAAAGUGGGGGAUCUUCGGACCUCACGCUAUCAGAUGAGCCUAGGUCGGAUUAGCUAGUUGGUGGGGUAAAGGCCUACCAAGGCGACGAUCCGUAACUGGUCUGAGAGGAUGAUCAGUCACACUGGAACUGAGACACGGUCCAGACUCCUACGGGAGGCAGCCGUGGGGAAUAUUGGACCAUGGGCGAAAGCCUGAUCCAGCCAUGCCGCGUGUGUGAAGAAGGUCUUCGGAUUGUAAAGCACCUUAAGUUGGGAGGAAGGGCAGUAAGUUAAUACCUUGCUGUUUUGACGUUACCAACAGAAUAAGCACCGGCUAACUUCGUG